UCCUACGGGAGGCACCAGUGGGGAAUCUUGGACAAUGGGGGCAACCCUGAUCCAGCCAUGCCGCGUGAGUGAUGAAGGCCUUAGGGUCGUAAAGCUCUUUCGCCUGUGAAGAUAAUGACGGUAUCAGGUAAAGAAACCCCGGCUAACUCCGUGCCACCAGCCGUGGUAAUACGGAGGGGGUUAGCGUUGUUCGGAAUUACUGGGCGUAAAGCGCACGUAGGCGGAUCGGAAAGUUGGGGGUGAAAUCCCGGGGCUCAACCCCGGAACUGCCUCCAAAACUAUCGGUCUAGAGUUCGACACAGGUGAGUGGAAUUCCAAGUGUACAGGUGAAAUUCAUAUAUAUUCGGAGGAACACCGGUGGAAAAGGCGGCUCACUGGCUCAAUACUGACACUGAGGUGGGAAAGUGUGGGGAGCAAACAGGAUUAGAUACCCUGGUAGCCCCCACCGUAAACAAUGAAGGCCAGUCGCCGGGUAACAUGUUAUUCGGUGACCACCCCUACGGAUAAACCAUU
rnacentral:rRNA from 1 species